rnacentral:rRNA from 1 species
AGGACGAACGCUGGCGGCGUGCUUAACACAUGCAAGUCGAGCGGUAAGGCCUUUCGGGGUACACGAGCGGCGAACGGGUGAGUAACACGUGGGUGAUCUGCCCUGCACUUCGGGAUAAGCCUGGGAAACUGGGUCUAAUACCGGAUAUGACCUCCGAUCGCAUGGUUGGUGGUGGAAAGAUUUAUCGGUGCAGGAUGGGCCCGCGGCCUAUCAGCUUGUUGGUGGGGUAAUGGCCUACCAAGGCGACGACGGGUAGCCGACCUGAGAGGGUGACCGGCCACGACUGGGACUGAGACACGGCCCAGACUCCUACGGGAGGCAGCAGUGGGGAAUAUGCACAAUGGGACGAAAGCCUGAUGCAGCGACGCCGCGUGAGGAUGACGGCUUCGGGUUGCAACUCUUACAGCAGGACGAAGCGACAAGUGACGGUACCUGCAGAAGAAGCACCGCAACUACGUCGACAGCACGCCGA